GGAGAUAUAGCUCAGUGGUAGAGCAUGUGCUUGGCAUGCACGAGGUCCUGGGUUCAAUCCCCAGUCCCUCCA
rnacentral:tRNA from 1 species